UGAUGUAAUCAGCUUUAUGAAAAUAUCCCACAACUCACAUAUAAGAACCAAAUAAAUUUUGCUUGGAUAAACAAGUUCUAAUAUAUUGGGGUAUAAAAAGGGCGAGUAUGCACCAUUUACAAGGGUCUUUAUAAUUGGCCAAACAAGACAAUAUGUAAACAACACAAACAAAGCCCCUAGUCCUAACAACAAAAGAGGUGCAGUUUAACAAGAAGAAAUCAAAAUAGAGGUUGUAAAGAGGUGCAGGCCAUCUCUAUAAAAAUGGGAAAUUUCUGCCAGCAGGUUCUUAAACCGCUAGGUUCUUACACACAUAUUGCAGACACAAUAAUAAUAAUAAUACACAAUAAUAAUAAUAAUAAUGUUUAUUUCUUAUAUUGCGCAGUCUAACAUGCACUGAGAAUGACACUUUGGGGAUAUACUACAUUUUAUUUUAUAAAUAUAUUAAUAUGGAAGAGCUGCAAUUAAAAUUUAGCUGCAGUGUAUGUAACAGUGAGAACUAAUAAUUAAAUAAUUAUUAUUAAACAUGAUUGGGCCAGA